CCAAGAUUGCAAGAUUGAAGGGGAUCCAAGAAUAGAGAGCAAGACAUAGAAGAGACAUACGGGAGAAACUUGGUCUGCAACAAUGUAGUUCUUUCAUCUUCUUAGUAGUAGGUUAGUUUAGUUUAGCUAGUAGUUCAUCCUUUCUUGUUAUUAGCUAGAUUAAGAAGAAGAUGGAGGAUGAAGAAGGCAAGGAAGAAAGCUCAUGUGACAAGGGUUGUAUUCCUUCCAAAAUCUUUAUCUUUUGUACUUGAUUCUAAGUUUAGUUAAUAUACAAGUUCUGGAUUUUG
rnacentral:lncRNA from 1 species